rnacentral:sRNA from 1 species
GCCUGGAGUGGUGCUGCACAUCUGUAAUCCCAGCUUCUGGGGAGGCUGAGGCAGAAGGAUUGCAAGUUCAAAGCCAGCCUCAGCAACUUGGAGAGGCCCUGAACAACUCAGCAAGACCCUGUCUCUA